rnacentral:tRNA from 1 species
AUUUUGGUGGCUGAAUCUAGGCGAUAAAUUGUAAAUUUAUUUAUGACUGUAGUGUCCCACCCGAAAA